rnacentral:rRNA from 1 species
GACGAACGCUGGCGGCGUGCCUAAUACAUGCAAGUCGAGCGAAUUGAUGGGAGCUUGCUCCCUGAUAUUAGCGGCGGACGGGUGAGUAACACGUGGGUAACCUGCCUGUAAGAUUGGGAUAACUCCGGGAAACCGGAGCUAAUACCGGAUAACAUUUCGAACCGCAUGGUUUGAAAUUGAAAGAUGGUUUCGGCUAUCACUUACAGAUGGACCCGCGGCGCAUUAGCUAGUUGGUGAGGUAACGGCUCACCAAGGCAACGAUGGGUAGCCGACCUGGGAGGGUGAUCGGCCACACUGGGACUGAGACACGGCCCAGACUCCUACGGGAGGCAGCAGUAGGGAAUCUUCCGCAAUGGACGAAAGUCUGACGGAGCAACGCCGCGUGAACGAUGAAGGCCUUCGGGUCGUAAAGUUCUGUUGUUAGGGAAGAACAAGUACCAGAGUAACUGCUGGUACCUUGACGGUACCUAACCAGAAAGCCACGGCUAACUACGUGCCAGCAGCCGCCGUAACAC